rnacentral:rRNA from 1 species
CAAUAGCGUAUAUUAAAGUUGUUGCGGUUAAAGCUCGUAGUUGGAUUUCUGCUGAGGACGACCGGUCCGCCCUCCGGGUGAGCAUCUGGUUCGGCCUUGGCAUCUUCUUGGUGAACGUAUCUGCACUUGACUGUGUGGUGCGGUACCCAGGACUUUACUUUGAGGAAAUUAGAGUGUUUCAAGCAGGCAUACGCCUUGAAUACAUUAGCAUGGAAUAAUAAGAUAGGACCUCGGUUCUAUUUGUUGGUUUCUAGAGCUGAGGUAAUGAUUAAUAGGGAUAGUUGGGCAUUGAGUUAUUAAUUGUUAUCAGAGGUGGAAUUCUCGGAUUUGUUAAAGACUAACUUAUGCGAAAGCAUUUGCCAAGGAU